rnacentral:lncRNA from 1 species
GCUAUGCUAAUUUAGUAGGAGAGAAAUAGAGAAGUUUCUAUACCACUAAUGGAUUAUUCUUUUUGACAGGACCUUGAGAAGUUAGAGAAAAGCUGAGUGAAAUGCCUGCAGUUACUUUGGUGUGGUAAUAGUAGCAUUAUUUAAAAGGAGUUUGUGGAGUGUCAGAAGGAGGAGCAUUUGGGGUUGGGAACCAGCAGGAGUCUGGAGGAUGAGAGGGACUUCCUGUCUCUGCCCAAUGUCAACCCAGAUGCCAGGUAUACAGUACAGAUGUCAGCGGAAAAGAGUCUUCCUGACAUGCAGUUGGGUUCUUUUCAGUCAGCACUCUUGUAUACAUCAAGCAAAGGUGAAAGAAGAAUACUAUCCGUACUUUGUGUUUGCCAGUAGUUUCAACUCUGAAUGAAGUCUUUCUGGAAGCUGAUGUUCAAGCAAUUUCAGGGUUAUUGGCCAAUAUGGAAAUCAUUCCAGACUGGACAAACGUGUAUCUAGAAGAACACAUUUUGCUGUGUCAAGUGCAAACCCAGCCCUUGGUUCACCUUAUGCUCACAACUCAUCCCAGUUUGUACAGAAUUGACAAUCUCUCAGAUGAGGAAAGAUGGAUUCCUUUUUUUAGUGGCUUUUUCUAGAUGUUUUCUAAGCGUAAUCAUACUCAUUCCAGUGCUGAAUUGAGAAGAGGUUUGUUUGUUAUCUAAAGCUUUAUAUUUUUAUCUUUUUGCUAGUUAUAUGUAGAGAGAUACUGGUUCAGGGAAGCUCCUGAAAAUAGUACCUUUAUUUAGUUUCCUAAGUCAAGUCUCUAGAACAGAUGUAAGAAAUAAAGAAAAUGUCAAGUUGACCA